rnacentral:rRNA from 1 species
UUUAAAGUCUAACCUGCCCACUGAGGGGUUAAAUGGCCGCGGUAUUUUGACCGUGCAAAGGUAGCAUAAUAAUUAGUUUUUUGAUUGAAAGCUGGUAUGAAUGGUUGGACGAGGGAAUUACUGUCUCGGAUUAAUUAAUUUAGAAUUUUAUUUUUAAGUUAAAAAGCUUAAAUAAAAUUAAAAGACGAGAAGACCCUAUAGAAUUUUAUAUUUAUUUUUAUUGAGAAUAUAAAUAAUUUUUUAUUAUUAAUUAAAGUAAAUAUUUUGUUGGGGUGAUAGAAAAAUUUAAUAAACUUUUUUUUAUGCAAUUCAUUAAUUUAUGUUUAUUUGAUCCAUUGUUUAUGAUUAAAAGAUUAAAUUACCUUAGGGAUAACAGCGUAAUUAUUUUAGAGAGUUCUUAUCGAAAAAAUAGUUUGCGACCUCGAUGUUGGAUUAAAAUUUACUUUUGGUGUAGGUGCUAAAAAGUUAAGUCUGUUCGACUUUUAAAAUUUUACAUGAUCUGAGUUUAAAUCGGCGUGAGCCAGGUUGGUUUCUAUCUUUAAUAAUAAAAAAGUAUUUUAGUACGAAAGGACCAAGUACUUAUAAUAUUUAUUUAAAUAUGAUUUAAAUUAAUAA